GACGAACGCUGGCGGCGUGCCUAAUACAUGCAAGUUGAGCGAUGAAGCUUGGUGCUUGCACCAAUUUGAAGAGCAGCGAACGGGUGAGUAACGCGUGGGGAAUCUGCCUUUGAGCGGGGGACAACAUUUGGAAACGAAUGCUAAUACCGCAUAACAACUUUAAACAUAAGUUUUAAGUUUUAAAGAUGCAAUUGCAUCACUCAAAGAUGAUCCCGCGUUGUAUUAGCUAGUUGGUGAGGUAAAGGCUCACCAAGGCGAUGAUACAUAGCCGACCUGAGAGGGUGAUCGGCCACAUUGGGACUGAGACACGGCCCAAACUCCUACGGGAGGCAGCAGUAGGGAAUCUUCGGCAAUAGACGAAAGUCUGACCGAGCAACGCCGCGUGAGUGAAGAAGGUUUUCGGAUCGUAAAACUCUGUUGGUAGAGAAGAACGUUGGUGAGAGUGGAAAGCUCAUCAAGUGACGGUAACUACCCAGAAAGGGACGGCUAACUACGUG
rnacentral:rRNA from 1 species